AACGGAGAAAAGGAGAAAUAAAGAGAAAAAAGGAAAAAAUAGAGUUGCUGCGGAGGGCUACGUGGGGUGACCCAAUCAGUGAACCCCUGUGGACUCAGGUGACUGACCUUGUAGGGUCACGUCCGGUUUUCUCUUCCGGUUUUGCGGUCAUGGUUACCUCUGUUGUUUCAUGUGCUACCUGAUGCAAACCGCAAGCAAACCUGUUGCAUCCACGGGAGCUCUGUGAGACCGGAUGAUUUCCGCCGAUCUGGCGCGGCUAAAUCCUGAAACAGUGCUCCUAGCUUGAUCACUCGGUCAGGUUUUUUUCCCUGUGACAUCAUUAGAUGAUCCACAUCCCACCGUCCAGAGGAGAGAUCCAGCUGGUUUCGUGUGAAGUUCGAGAGAUCCAGAGAGUGGUUCCAGAACCAGAUUAGAACUAGAUUCCCAGCGUGAGCUGGGUGGCGAGCCGCAUUGAACUACUGAUACUGAACUGAGAGUGGAGAAGAAUUCCUUCAUUCCCCCUUCCUCACGGACUGUGUGGUAGGACAGAACAAACAUACACUGAUACACUGACACUUGACACGGAUCCGAAGAAAUAAGGGCCCCAACGGUAACUUUGGGACAAAAAGGGUUUUCAUUUUUGCCGGCUUUAUUAUUUUAGUUUGUUAUUUUCCAUUGAAUGCCUUGCAACAACUGUUGUAUUUUCAUUGUGUUAUUGGUUAAUAAUAAGUGGCCACACAAAAACAAAAGGAAAAAAACUUCAAAUCCUUGACUGUGUCUUUUCAUUACUCAACAACAAUGGCUCUCUCUAGCUUAUAGUCUUCUGUACUGGUCCAUCUCUUAACAUUGACUAUUACUUACCUGGGCUCAUGUUAUAACACCAUAAUAAGGGUUACAACUGGAUUACAUUUAAAUGCAGUUGAAUGGAUUUGGAUCAGAAACAUAGCCAUUGCCCUGAAUGGAUUUCUGUGGACAACAUUUAUUUUAAUGACCAAGCAGGAAAUCGUGGAUGAAGAUACAAAGUGAGGAGCUGAAAGAUCUGUCCUCACUUUUACUGUCUUAAUAAAAUAAUGACAGUUUUUUUUCUAUUGAUCCAUUAAUUGUUAAAUAGUUAUUUGUAAAUAAGAAUUUUGUUUGGCCAACAGUCAAAAACACAAAGGUUCGAUUUACAAAUAUAAAACCACAAAAGGCAGAAAAUCAUAUUUGAAAAGCUGAAACAAAGAUUAUUUUCCAAAAUGACUUAAUUUGAUUGACAUAUUUAUUUUCCUGGCAUUAUCACAUGGGUAAUUUCACAUAGACAGACAAGAAACAGAAGGGGGGAUACUGUUUAACAUACAAUAAAUAUCCCCAGCCGUAAUUUAUGUUGCACCUAGGUGGUAUGUGUCUUAACCACCCUGCUAUCUGAUGCACCUAAUUGGAAACAUUUUCUUGGUCAUUUUUCUUGAUCAGCUGAUCGUUACAGCAUUGGAUAGUACAAAGAGACAGUGUGCUGACUGCAGAGAGGGAGGGCAUCAGAAUGCUGUUGAUGCUGAGAAAGACAAAGCAGGUCUUAUGACUUCUCUCAUAUCUACACUAUCAAUUACUCCCCCUCACGUGACAAGUACAAGAUGAGAUAAGGGAAGUUAAGAGAAUGUUCUGGAAGUAGGGUUGCGAGUGUCUUCAGCUUUACACAGACAGACACAUUACAGACACAUUACUUUAAUCAGCAUUUAUGGUCUUCUCCCUUCCAAGUCUUGGAGUCUUGGAGACUUUGCGUCAUGGAGUCUUGGAGACUUUUGCUAUUGGUUGUGCUUAAUGAAGGUAAAGUUAAAAGAGAAAGUUUAGGAAAGGGGGUGGGAGUGUCUUCUCUAUUACCCCCCUCUUCAGUUUUACACACACACACACACACACACACACACACACACACACACACACACACACACACACACACACACAGAGACACACACAAUCGCAGAUAAGACCCCAAAUGUUGUAGAAAAAAGUAAUAAUAAAUCUGAGAAACAACCAACCAGAGAAAGGAGGUGUGGAAAUCACUUUGUAUGAUUCCUUUAAAACGAGUGUGCGUCCGAGAAUGACUCAAAAACCAUCUUGGUGAAAAAAGAAACUCAUCAUGCCUGUUACAAUCUUUCAAGGAUCUCUGUUUGCUGUAGGGAUGCUGAGUUCCACAACUGGGCAGUGCUAAGACUGGUGAUGCCAAAUCACUUGACCUUAACCAGCCUGACCGGGCAUCCCCUGAAUCAAGAAGUUCUUGUAGCUCGCUGCUAAACAGCCCAGAUUAGAGGCUGAGACCGAGACCACUUUCAACGCGAUCGGCAAUCAAGAACCUGUCCCUCCAGUCGCUGGUUCUUAUGAGCCACUCUCCGGACAUCUGGAGAGAGAGGACCUAUGGAGCACUUUCUCUUGAAGAGUGUGUAUUCCAGACACUGGUAGACCUGCCGGGAGCUGCAUGGAAGGAAAAGAUGGGAGAAAUUGGAGAGAAAAAAUUACAUCACUGUUUACCAGCUGCCGCAAAUGGAAUGACGUUCUGUCAGUGAAAAAAACUCUGUCCUUCUAAAAUCACACCCCCUCAUCCGUGCAACGCUUAAAAGGAGACUCAACAGCAGACAUACAGUACCAGCACAACCCACUGACUGGUUCAGUCUGACUGAAAGACAUGGAUCAUUUUAACCAACGCUACAGCCAGAGAUGGCUCACCACCACAUGGGUUCCCCUGCUGUGAAGUAUAUCUCUCUCAUGUAAGAAAACUUGUAUUGACCUUAAGAACUAUGUAGUGAACUUCACACACUGUAACCAAAAGUUGUUAGAAUAUGACUGUGGGAUCAUUGGUGUUUAUUUGUAACCUGCUUACUAACAUUCAGUGGUUUGAACUCAAAAUGUACAGAUUUUCCUGUGAUUUAAUUGCAAUAGAUUGGUCAAAAGAAUACCAAAGUCUGCAAGACAAUAAGCAAAAAAUCCUUUGUAAAUAAGAAGUUAAAGAAUAACUUCUCCUUUCAAUCAACUCAAUCUCUCUGUUACUCCUCCCCUGCUUGCUCCUCUCUUUCCUCUUUGUAAAACUCCUUCUAAAUUAUCAAACAAUGUCCUUUCUUUCACAUGGGUAGCUUUGGAUUACUUACCUGACUCUCCCUGCAGGCCUAUUAAACACCCCUAGAGUCAUGGUCACCGCUUGGCUAGCUCUGGAUUCAUAAUGAUCAUUAACUCAGCCCCCAAAAAAUGAAUAGUGGAAUUGGAAUAAUCCAAUUCAUAGAGAUCUGAAAAUGCCUUUUACCAAGGGGCCUUAUAUUGAUAGCAGGCAAUUUCACAUCUCAUUCGCCAGAAGUGGGCUUAUUGAAUGUGAGAGGACUGGGAGGAGAGAAUUGCAAUGUGGUUCCUUUACAUUUCACCCGCAUAGAGAAAGCCUGUGAUAUCUUUCAAGUUCGUGCAAUCCUCCUCAUGUAUCACACAUUGCCUUGGGUGGAUCCAUUGUUAGGGAUAAUAUGUUUUUAAAAGCUUUCCUUUUCACUCUGUCCGACAACAGGAUUUUCCAUUUAGCGCAAGUCCUUUAACUCCCCACCAGCGAGACAAUCACAUUAUUUCAUUUUACAGAAAGACCUGCGGCAGCAUUCUGCCACUCAUUUCUCCCCUCCACUGACAGGAAACGACCAUCCUCUUUUGGCCACUUUUCUCUAUUCUGUUACCAUCAAUAAAAACAGAGCUAGAUAACGACGUAUAAUCCUUUCAAUCCUUGCCUGAUCUUAUCUCAAGGAUCUAUUCAAAUGUGAGCCAUCACCCCAGGUAUUAGCUCUCUUUUCUAAAUCAUCUCCUGUGAAUAGACCAAGGACAAAAGAUUAAACUUUUUACGCUGUCACAAAAAUAUCUCAGAU